rnacentral:rRNA from 1 species
GAACGACGGAAACUGCGAACGGCUCAUUAAAUCAGUUGCGAUCUACUCGGCGUUCCGCGCCGCCGGAUAACCGUAGUAAUUCUAGGGCUAAUACGUGCGAAGCGCCCGAAGCCGCGAGGCGACGGGCGUUCUCGCCGGAUGUAGGAACCGACCCGGGGACCGCCGGGGCAACCCGGCGCCCCCGAGACGGGGCGAACCACGGUGAAAUGACGGAUCGUCGGCCCCGCGCCGGCGACUCGCCGAAUGAGUUUCUGACCUAUCAACUCGAGACGGCGGGGUAGAGGCCCGCCGCGGUAACGACGGGUAACGGGGAAUCAGGGUUCGAUUCCGGAGAGGGAGCCCGAGAAACGGCUACCACUUCCAAGGAAGGCAGCAGGCGCGCAACUUACCCUAAUCUCGAUUCGAGGAGGUAGUGACAAGAAAUACCGAUGCGGGACCCUACGGGUGCCGCGUUCGGAAUGAGUACGAUUCGAACCACCUAACGAGG